AUAUAGUAAAAUGCAAAAUAAGAAUCGUUUAAAACAAAAGACGGCAGAAGUGGUAACGGCUGUGCAGUAGCUAAUAAGAGAGAUUUUAAAGUGGCUAGCUCUUUUAUAUAUAAUGUCUUCUCGGUUGAGUUCAAAUUCAGCAAUGAAGUUUAGACGUACAAAACUGGCGGACCGAAAAGGAACUUGAUUACGCGUGCACAC